rnacentral:lncRNA from 1 species
UGAAACAUGGUUAAAUAGGGGAAAUCUAUCAAUACACCAAAGUAUCAUGAAUUAUUUCUUGAUCAUUCAUUAAUAGGUUUGAUAUAUUGAAGAUUUUAUCAAUCCUGAAAAACCAAAGACCAUGAUCAACAAAUCUCAUCAACCAUCAUCAACAACAAACGGUAAAAAUGUCCAAAAUAAAAAUGAAUAAAAAUAAAUGAUUAAGUGGGGAAAAUAAAAUAUAAUAUUUGGUUAAAUUU